AGGCGAGACCGCGAGGUGGAGCAAAUCUCAAAAAGACCGUCCCAGUUCGGAUCGCAGGCUGCAACCCGCCUGCGUGAAGUUGGAAUCGCUAGUAAUCGCGGAUCAGCAUGCCGCGGUGAAUACGUUCCCGGGCCUUGUACACACCGCCCGUCACACCAUGAGAGUCGGGAACACCCGAAGUCCGUAGCCUAACCGCAAGGGGGGCGCGGCCGAAGGUGGGUUCGAUAAUUGGGGUGAAGUCGUAACAAGGUAGC
rnacentral:rRNA from 1 species